UGAGGAAUCUUGCGCAAUGGGGGAAACCCUGACGCAGCAACGCCGCGUGAGUGAGGAAGGCCUUCGGGUCGUAAAGCUCUGUCAGAUGGGAAGAAAUGGGUGGGGGCUAAUAUCGUCCAUCCUUGACGGUACCAUCAGAGGAAGCACCGGCUAACUCCGUGCCAGCAGCCGCGGUAAUACGGGGGGUGCAAGCGUUGUUCGGAAUCAUUGGGCGUAAAGCGCGCGCAGGCGGCUUGGUAAGUCAGAUGUGAAAGCCCUGGGCUUAACCCAGGAAGUGCAUUUGUUACUGCCGCGCUAGAGUACGGGAGAGGAAAGUGGAAUUCCUGGGGUAGAGGUGAAAGUCGUAGAUAUCAGGAGGAACACCGGUGGCGAAGGCGACUUUCUGGCCCGAUACUGACGCUCAGGCGCGAAAGCGUGGGGAGCAAACA
rnacentral:rRNA from 1 species